GUGAGACAGUUCGGUCCCUAUCUGCCGUGGGUGUAGGAUACUUGAGAGGAGUUGCCCCUAGUACGAGAGGACCGGGGUGAACGAUCCACUGGUGGACCAGUUGUUAUGCCAAUAGCAGUGCUGGGUAGCUAUGAUCGGAAAGGAUAACCGCUGAAGGCAUCUAAGCGGGAAGCCCCCCUCAAAACAAGGUAUCCCUGAGGACCGUGGUAGACCACCACGUCGAUAGGCCGGAGAUGUAAGUGCAGCAAU
rnacentral:rRNA from 1 species